rnacentral:misc_RNA from 1 species
GCAAACUUGGUCAUUUAGAGGAAGUAAAAGUCGUAACAAGGUUUCCGUAGGUGAACCUGCGGAAGGAUCAUUAUUAGAGUUAUGCCCUUUAAAAAAUGGGUAGACCUCCAAACCCUUUGUUUUUAAUUGACUUUGUUGCUUUGGUAGGUUUUCAAACCUGCCAGAGGAAAUUAAAACUCUGAAUAUUUUUGUUGUCCGAGUUAUACUUAAUAAAUUCAAUAAAACUUUCAACAACGGAUCUCUUGGUUCUGGCAUCGAUGAAGAACGCAGC